rnacentral:rRNA from 1 species
UCGAGAAUUUUUCACAAUGGGGGAAACCCUGAUGGAGCGACGCCGCGUGGGGGAUGAAUGGCUUCGGCCCGUAAACCCCUGUCAUUCGCGAUCAAUGCGUGUUGUUUAAGAGAUGACAUGUUGAUAGUAGCGGAAGAGGAAGGGACGGCUAACUCUGUGCCAGCAGCCGCGGUAAUACAGAGGUCCCGAGCGUUGUUCGGAUUCACUGGGCGUAAAGGGUGCGUAGGUGGUGAGGUAAGUCGGAUGUGAAAGCUCGGAGCUCAACUCCGAAAUGGCAUUGGAAACUACCUUGCUAGAGGAUUGGAAGGGGGACUGGAAUGCUUGGUGUAGCAGUGAAAUGCGUAGAUAUCAAGCGGAACACCAGUGGCGAAGGCGAGUCCCUGGACAACACCUGACACUG